AGUCUUCAGGGCAGGGUGCGAUUCCCGACCGGCGGUGAUGAGUUUUCAAAGUCCGCGAGCGCAAGCUGAACCGGUGUGAUUCCGGUACCGACAGUACAGUCUGGAUGGAAGAAGAU
rnacentral:ncRNA from 1 species